AUUUAUAUAGUUUAAAAUAAAACAUUAUAUUUUCAUUAUAAAAAUAAUAUAUAGAUA
rnacentral:tRNA from 1 species